CUGACACCUAUGUUGCUGCUCCACAGAGCUCUGAGAUAGGGACAUUCUCGAAGAAGGUGAUAGAUGAGGAGAUCAACCUUGUGGAGUGUGUACGAAUAGUAUCUGGAAGGCUCAUAUUUAGAACUUGGUAACACUGUGAUACAGUUUGAGAUCUACUUGGAAAAUCUUUGGGCUGAUAUUGCUGAGCUCUUGUAUCUUUCCACAACGGAGAGGAAAAGCCUGGGGACCUUCCUGAAGGCCUUCGUUCUGUCCAGGAACUUUCAAGGUGUGUGAACCAGGAAGGAGUCAUGCCUUGAGACAGAGAAUCACCAGGUUGGGAUGUAGGGUACAUCCUCUAUUCUGUGAGAGGAGGUAUGGAGUGACUGGAAGAGAGAUCGGCGGGCGCAUCACGAGCUGUGACAGCAGGACCUUCAAGAGUAGGGGAAAAGGAGAAACAGCGUAAAGAAGGUCUCUGUCUCAGGGGAGGAGGAGAGCAUCACCUAGGGAGUGUUGUCCUACUGGAACAGUAGCCUUGACAUUUCUUGUUCAGAUCCAGCAUGACUCCAGGUGGCACCAAUGAAGUGAGACAAAGAUUUAUCUAAAUGGCACCAUGGCUCCAACAUGACUGGAUCCUCAAAAGGACACCCUGCUCCCCAAAUGAUGGAGGUGUCAACCAAGAUGAGUGAACAGAUGAAUUUUUUAUUUAAA